UCGAUGUAGGGCAGCAGGUCGUAGCUGCCCGAUUCCUCGCAGGUCUCGAUGAUGCCGACGCAGCGCGGCCGUUCGACCCCCUGUGCGUCGAGC
rnacentral:tRNA from 1 species